rnacentral:rRNA from 1 species
AUUGAACGCUGGCGGCAGGCCUAACACAUGCAAGUCGAACGAGUGGCGGACGGGUGAGUAAUGUCUGGGAAACUGCCCGAUGGAGGGGGAUAACUACUGGAAACGGUAGCUAAUACCGCAUACCAUCGGAUGUGCCCAGAUGGGAUUAGCUUGUAGGUGAGGUAACGGCUCACCUAGGCGACGAUCCCUAGCUGGUCUGAGAGGAUGACAAGCCACACUGGAACUGAGGCACGGUCCAGACUCCGACGCGAGGCAUAAGGGGGGAAUAUUGCACAAUGGGCGCAAUCCUGAUGCAGCCACGCCGCGUGUAUGAAGAAGGCUUUCUGGUUGUAAAGUACGUUCAGCGGGGAGGCGUUACCCGCAGAAGAUGCACCGUCUAACUCCGUGCCAGCAGCCGCUGUAAUAC